UUGACCUCGGAUCAGGUAGGGAUACCCGCUGAACUUAAGCAUAUCAAUAAGCGGAGGAACC
rnacentral:rRNA from 1 species